rnacentral:rRNA from 1 species
UACGAAGGGGGCUAGCGUUGCUCGGAAUCACUGGGCGUAAAGCGCACGUAGGCGGAUUGUUAAGUCAGGGGUGAAAUCCUGGAGCUCAACUCCAGAACUGCCUUUGAUACUGGCGAUCUUGAGUCCGGGAGAGGUGAGUGGAGCUGCGAGUGUAGAGGUGAAAUUCGUAGAUAUUCGCAAGAACACCAGUGGCGAAGGCGGCUCACUGGCCCGGUACUGACGCUGAGGUGCGAAAGCGUGGGGAGCAAACAGG